GGGUUGUGAGGUUAAGCGACUAAGCGUACACGGUGGAUGCCCUGGCAGUCAGAGGCGAUGAAGGACGUGCUAAUCUGCGAUAAGCGUCGGUAAGGUGAUAUGAACCGUUAUAACCGGCGAUUUCCGAAUGGGGAAACCCAGUGUGAUUCGUCACACUAUCAUUAACUGAAUCCAUAGGUUAAUGAGGCGAACCGGGGGAACUGAAACAUCUAAGUACCCCGAGGAAAAGAAAUCAACCGAGAUUCCCCCAGUAGCGGCGAGCGAACGGGGAGCAGCCCAGAGCCUGAAUCAGUGUGUGUGUUAGUGGAAGCGUCUGGAAAGGCGUGCGAUACAGGGUGACAGCCCCGUACACAAAAAUGCACAUAUUGUGAGCUCGAUGAGUAGGGCGGGACACGUGGUAUCCUGUCUGAAUAUGGGGGGACCAUCCUCCAAGGCUAAAUACUCCUGACUGACCGAUAGUGAACCAGUACCGUGAGGGAAAGGCGAAAAGAACCCCGGCGAGGGGAGUGAAAAAGAACCUGAAACCGUGUACGUACAAGCAGUGGGAGCACGCUUAGGCGUGUGACUGCGUACCUUUUGUAUAAUGGGUCAGCGACUUAUAUUCUGUAGCAAGGUUAACCGAAUAGGGGAGCCGAAGGGAAACCGAGUCUUAACUGGGCGUUAAGUUGCAGGGUAUAGACCCGAAACCCGGUGAUCUAGCCAUGGGCAGGUUGAAGGUUGGGUAACACUAACUGGAGGACCGAACCGACUAAUGUUGAAAAAUUAGCGGAUGACUUGUGGCUGGGGGUGAAAGGCCAAUCAAACCGGGAGAUAGCUGGUUCUCCCCGAAAGCUAUUUAGGUAGCGCCUCGUGAAUUCAUCUCCGGGGGUAGAGCACUGUUUCGGCAAGGGGGUCAUCCCGACUUACCAACCCGAUGCAAACUGCGAAUACCGGAGAAUGUUAUCACGGGAGACACACGGCGGGUGCUAACGUCCGUCGUGAAGAGGGAAACAACCCAGACCGCCAGCUAAGGUCCCAAAGUCAUGGUUAAGUGGGAAACGAUGUGGGAAGGCCCAGACAGCCAGGAUGUUGGCUUAGAAGCAGCCAUCAUUUAAAGAAAGCGUAAUAGCUCACUGGUCGAGUCGGCCUGCGCGGAAGAUGUAACGGGGCUAAACCAUGCACCGAAGCUGCGGCAGCGACGCUUAUGCGUUGUUGGGUAGGGGAGCGUUCUGUAAGCCUGUGAAGGUGUACUGUGAGGUAUGCUGGAGGUAUCAGAAGUGCGAAUGCUGACAUAAGUAACGAUAAAGCGGGUGAAAAGCCCGCUCGCCGGAAGACCAAGGGUUCCUGUCCAACGUUAAUCGGGGCAGGGUGAGUCGACCCCUAAGGCGAGGCCGAAAGGCGUAGUCGAUGGGAAACAGGUUAAUAUUCCUGUACUUGGUGUUACUGCGAAGGGGGGACGGAGAAGGCUAUGUUGGCCGGGCGACGGUUGUCCCGGUUUAAGCGUGUAGGCUGGUUUUCCAGGCAAAUCCGGAAAAUCAAGGCUGAGGCGUGAUGACGAGGCACUACGGUGCUGAAGCAACAAAUGCCCUGCUUCCAGGAAAAGCCUCUAAGCAUCAGGUAACAUCAAAUCGUACCCCAAACCGACACAGGUGGUCAGGUAGAGAAUACCAAGGCGCUUGAGAGAACUCGGGUGAAGGAACUAGGCAAAAUGGUGCCGUAACUUCGGGAGAAGGCACGCUGAUAUGUAGGUGAAGUCCCUCGCGGAUGGAGCUGAAAUCAGUCGAAGAUACCAGCUGGCUGCAACUGUUUAUUAAAAACACAGCACUGUGCAAACACGAAAGUGGACGUAUACGGUGUGACGCCUGCCCGGUGCCGGAAGGUUAAUUGAUGGGGUCAGCGCAAGCGAAGCUCUUGAUCGAAGCCCCGGUAAACGGCGGCCGUAACUAUAACGGUCCUAAGGUAGCGAAAUUCCUUGUCGGGUAAGUUCCGACCUGCACGAAUGGCGUAAUGAUGGCCAGGCUGUCUCCACCCGAGACUCAGUGAAAUUGAACUCGCUGUGAAGAUGCAGUGUACCCGCGGCAAGACGGAAAGACCCCGUGAACCUUUACUAUAGCUUGACACUGAACAUUGAGCCUUGAUGUGUAGGAUAGGUGGGAGGCUUUGAAGUGUGGACGCCAGUCUGCAUGGAGCCGACCUUGAAAUACCACCCUUUAAUGUUUGAUGUUCUAACGUGGACCCGUGAUCCGGGUUGCGGACAGUGUCUGGUGGGUAGUUUGACUGGGGCGGUCUCCUCCUAAAGAGUAACGGAGGAGCACGAAGGUUGGCUAAUCCUGGUCGGACAUCAGGAGGUUAGUGCAAUGGCAUAAGCCAGCUUGACUGCGAGCGUGACGGCGCGAGCAGGUGCGAAAGCAGGUCAUAGUGAUCCGGUGGUUCUGAAUGGAAGGGCCAUCGCUCAACGGAUAAAAGGUACUCCGGGGAUAACAGGCUGAUACCGCCCAAGAGUUCAUAUCGACGGCGGUGUUUGGCACCUCGAUGUCGGCUCAUCACAUCCUGGGGCUGAAGUAGGUCCCAAGGGUAUGGCUGUUCGCCAUUUAAAGUGGUACGCGAGCUGGGUUUAGAACGUCGUGAGACAGUUCGGUCCCUAUCUGCCGUGGGCGCUGGAGAACUGAGGGGGGCUGCUCCUAGUACGAGAGGACCGGAGUGGACGCAUCACUGGUGUUCGGGUUGUCAUGCCAAUGGCACUGCCCGGUAGCUAAAUGCGGAAGAGAUAAGUGCUGAAAGCAUCUAAGCACGAAACUUGCCCCGAGAUGAGUUCUCCCUGACUCCUUGAGAGUCCUGAAGGAACGUUGAAGACGACGACGUUGAUAGGCCGGGUGUGUAAGCGCAGCGAUGCGUUGAGCUAACCGGUACUAAUGAACCGUGAGGCUUAACCUUACAACGCCGAAG
rnacentral:rRNA from 1 species